rnacentral:rRNA from 1 species
CGGCGGACGGGUGAGUAACACGUGGAUAACCUACCUAUAAGACUGGGAUAACUUCGGGAAACCGGAGCUAAUACCGGAUAAUAUAUUGAACCGCAUGGUUCAAUAGUGAAAGAGGUUUUGCUGUCACUUAUAGAUGGAUCCGCGCCGCAUUAGCUAGUUGGUAAGGUAACGGCUUACCAAGGCAACGAUGCGUAGCCGACCUGAGAGGGUGAUCGGCCACACUGGAACUGAGACACGGUCCAGACUCCUACGGGAGGCAGCAGUC